UGAGGAAUUUUCCGCAAUGGGCGCAAGCCUGACGGAGCGACGCCGCGUGAGGGAUGAAGGCUUUCGGGUUGUAAACCUCUUUUGUGGGGGAAAAAGGUUUUCAUGCUCAUACCAUGAGAAUUUGAUGGUACUCCAUGAAUAAGCCCCGGCUAACUACGUGCCAGCAGCCGCGGUAAUACGUAGGGGGCGAGCGUUGUCCGGAGUUACUGGGCGUAAAGGGCGUGUAGGCGGUUGGAUAAGUCUGGUGUGAAAUCCCAUGGCUCAACCAUGGAACUGCACUGGAAACUGUCUGACUGGAGUUCGGUAGGGGUGACUGGAAUCCCCGGUGUAACGGUGAAAUGUAUAGAUAUCGGGGGGAACACCUGUGGCGAAGGCGGGUCACUGGGCCGCAACUGACGCUGAGACGCGAAAGCGUGGGGAGCAAACAGG
rnacentral:rRNA from 1 species